GACGGAGGAUGCAAGUGUUAUCCGGAAUCACUGGGCGUAAAGCGUCUGUAGGUGGUUUAAAAAGUCUACUGUUAAAAAUUGAAGCUUAACUUCAAAGAUGCCGUAGAAACUUUUAAACUUGAGGAUGGUAGGGGUAGAGGGAAUUUCCAGUGGAGCGGUGAAAUGCGUAGAUCGUUAGGAAAGACCACCAAUGGCGAAGGCACUCUACUGGGCCAUUACUGACACUAAGAGACGAAAGCUAGGGGAGCAAAUGGG
rnacentral:rRNA from 1 species